CGUUCCCGGGCCUUGUANACACCGCCCGUCACGUCACGAAAAGUCGGCAACACCCCGAAGCCGGUGGCCCAACCCUUGUGGAGGGGAGCCGUCGAAAGGGUGGGGGCUGGCGAUUGGGAACG
rnacentral:rRNA from 1 species